GUAGGGAAUAUUGGGCAAUGGAUGCAAGUCUGACCCAGCCAUCCCGCGUGCCGGAAGAAGGCCCUCAGGGUUGUAAACUGCUUUUGUACGGAACGAAAAGCCUCUGGUUAAUACCCGGGGGUCAUGACGGUACCGUAAGAAUAAGCACCGGCUAACUACGUGCCAGCAGCCGCGGUAAUACGUAGGGUGCGAGCGUUAAUCGGAAUUACUGGGCGUAAAGCGUGCGCAGGCGGUUUUGUAAGACAGGCGUGAAAUCCCCGGGCUCAACCUGGGAAUUGCGCUUGUGACUGCAAGGCUGGAGUGCGGCAGAGGGGGAUGGAAUUCCGCGUGUAGCAGUGAAAUGCGUAGAUAUGCGGAGGAACACCGAUGGCGAAGGCAAUCCCCUGGGCCUGCACUGACGCUCAUGCACGAAAGCGUGGGGAGCAAACAGGAUUAGAUACCCUUGUAGUCC
rnacentral:rRNA from 1 species